GCCUAAUUUAUUCAUCCUUUAAACCCAAUUUAUUCCAUUUCUUACAAUGUUAGCCUAAUUUUAUUUGAUCCAUUACAAUUAUGACCAAAUUGUGAUCUUUAUUUCAAUUUUAAUCAACUUCUCAACCUUUAGAUCUCAACCAUCGAUCAAAAAAUGAUCUGACGACUAAGAUCAAAUUAUCCAUCCCUUUCUUUAUGAAAAAACAAACAAAAAUCCUAGAUCUAAAACAUUUUCCAAACCAGCCGCCCCUCCUUUCGCCCUCUUCUUUUUCUCCAAACCUAUCUAAACCACCAUUUCUGACCAUCUUCCAAUCGAAGAUCCCCAUCUCCUUGCUAGCCAUAACCAACGCCGGACAUGAUGAAGAAAACCGUGAGCCUCCUUCCACCAAUCGUCGCGGCAUAAUAGCCAUGCAGCUAGCGAGGCCAGCCACCAGCGCCGCCUCCCAUCGAGUCAGCAAUCCUAGCACCGACCACUAUCCGCCACAUCUAUCACUGGUCGGUGGAAGUUGCACCCGCAGGAACCCGCCAACUUCAAGAAGCUUUGACAAAGACGAGCAUCUCGUAUGGCUCAUCAGUGACUUCCCGUGGCUGAGAUCGAGUUAACUGAGGAGUUAUCUAAUGAAGACAAGGCAAAAUUCUGACACAUGCGACUGGUUCAUAUGAGCGCACGAGGACUGGAGAUGCUAAGCAACCAUAACCUUUUGAAUAGUGAGAUAAUCAGCACACGUGAAUUGUAAGUGCAUUGCAUCCUAGCAAAGCAGAAAACGAUCUGCUUCAACACUUGCAAGCACAAGACAGAAAGGGUGCUAGAAUACAUCCAUUCAGAUUUAUAGAGUCCUUUUAAGUUUCCAUCAUAUGGAGGAAAGAGAUAUUUUCUUACAUUAAUUGAUAAUCUUUCACAAAAGAUUUAGGUACAUUUCUUGAAGUCAAAAAGUGAAGUAAUUUAAGCAUUUAAAUAGUAGAAUAUAUUGGUUGAGAAUCAAAUUGAGUUGAAACUCAAUUAUAUUAACAUAUACAGUAGCUUGAAGUUUUGUAGUGAAGAGUUUAAUAAUUUC